UUGUCAAAAAUGGCAUUCAGAAGAAAGUUAAAAAAGGAGGAGGACAAAGGAGCACAGGUAGGCCUUUUCCAAGUGAUUUUUCUAAAACAAAAAAUGAAAAUUAACUAACCUUAUGCCAAAAGGUGUAUAAGAGUACAAAAAUCUGAGUUUUGUUCUACCUUCUUUUCUUUACUGAGCCUUAAACUAACUGUAAGUAGCCCUAUGCUUGCAUGAUUUAUCUCUGACAAUGUUGUAGGAGGCAGAAGACUUUGAAAGGAGACUUUAAAGUCAAGAGUGCAAUAAUAAAUUUUUUGUAGUUUUAUGUCUUAUUAUAAUACUGCUUUAACAAAGGAUGUCUUUUCUUUCCUCUUCAGUCUGGAUUUCUCUCUUUCAACAUGAGAAAAUUAAAGGACUUGGUCUACACAGGAAAAUUUUGGUCUCACGGCUCUGUCCAGACUAUUUUCUGUUCUACAUUCUUUGCACCAUAGCUGUGCUGGCAAAAUUUCUACUUUAUAUGCACUUAUACCACCAGGAAAUUCUGUUGCCAGUUUUUCAGGCACUGCUUGAGAAACAGGUUUGUUUCUUUUGCUUACCUAAACCAUAUGCCUUAAAAUACAGAUUGCUUUCAUCUUGGCUUUACUAGUAAACCUUUGAAGAGCAGGCAUGUCUGGGAGGUACCAGGACUCAGUUUUGGAGCAGUACCAGCUCAAUGACACCAUCAUCUCAGUAUGGUAUGCAACAGCACAAAAAUCCUGUAAGAAAGAUGGGGUUUUUGUUCCUCCUCAUCAGUGAUUCUUUCAGUCCUCUAACCACAAUCACUGAUAAGCACCACAGAUAUCUGCAGCUUGUCAAAGAUUAGGUAAUUAGUUAGGUAGAGCUUCAAGUAUGGGAACAGUGACAGUAAAAAGGACAGUGGCAGAAAAGGGAAGGUCUUCACAACCUCAACAUUAAAAACACACCAUAGAUGGAAAAAACUGCUUCUUAAGGAUUCUUGGUAAGUAAUGUGACAAUCUAAGUCAUAAAAUCUUUAAAAGCUAUUUAAAGGUCAGUGGAUUCCAGUA
rnacentral:lncRNA from 1 species